rnacentral:rRNA from 2 species
GUCGAGCGGAGUUUUGAAAAGCUUGCUUUUCAAAACUUAGCGGCGGACGGGUGAGUAACACGUGGGCAACCUGCCCUUGAGACGGGGAUAACUCCGGGAAACCGGAGCUAAUACCGGAUAACACAUAUCUUCGCAUGAGGAUAUGUUAGAAGGUGGCUUUUAGCUACCACUCAAGGAUGGGCCCGCGGCGCAUUAGCUAGUUGGUGAGGUAACGGCUCACCAAGGCGACGAUGCGUAGCCGACCUGAGAGGGUGAUCGGCCACACUGGGACUGAGACACGGCCCAGACUCCUACGGGAGGCAGCAGUAGGGAAUCUUCCGCAAUGGACGAAAGUCUGACGGAGCAACGCCGCGUGAGUGAUGAAGGUUUUCGGAUCGUAAAGCUCUGUUGUUAGGGAAGAACAAGUAUCUGUUGAAUAAGCAGGUACCUUGACGGUACCUAACCAGAAAGCCACGGCUAACUACGUGCCAGCAGCCGCGGUAAUACGUAGGUGGCAAGCGUUGUCCGGAAUUAUUGGGCGUAAAGCGCGCGCAGGCGGUUCCUUAAGUCUGAUGUGAAAGCCCACGGCUCAACCGUGGAGGGUCAUUGGAAACUGGGGAACUUGAGUGCAGAAGAGGAGAGCGGAAUUCCACGUGUAGCGGUGAAAUGCGUAGAGAUGUGGAGGAACACCAGUGGCGAAGGCGGCUCUCUGGUCUGUAACUGACGCUGAGGCGCGAAAGCGUGGGGGAGCGAACAGGAUUAGAUACCCUGNUAGUCCACGCCGUAAACGAUGAGUGCUAAGUGUUAGAGGGUUUCCGCCCUUUAGUGNUGCAGCAAACGCAUUAAGCACUCC